UACGUAGGGUGCAAGCGUUGUCCGGAAUUAUUGGGCGUAAGAGCUCGUAGGCGGUCUGUCGCGUCUGCUGUGAAAACUCAGGGCUUAACCCUGAGCUUGCAGUGGGUACGGGCAGACUAGAGUGCGGUAGGGGAGACUGGAAUUCCUGGUGUAGCGGUGAAAUGCGCAGAUAUCAGGAGGAACACCGGUGGCGAAGGCGGGGUCUCUGGGCCGUAACUGACGCUGAGGAGCGAAAGCAUGGGGGAG
rnacentral:rRNA from 1 species